CUCGUAGGCGGCCAACUAAGUCGGACGUGAAAUCCCCAGGCUCAACCUGGGAACUGCGUCCGAUACUGGAUGGCUUGAAUCCGGGAGAGGGAUGCAGAAUUCCAGGUGUAGCGGUGAAAUGCGUAGAUAUCUGGAGGAAUACCGGUGGCGAAGGCGGCAUCCUGGACCGGCAUUGACGCUGAGGAGCGAAAGCCAGGGGAGCAACG
rnacentral:rRNA from 1 species